UACGUAGGGUGCGAGCGUUAAUCGGAAUUACUGGGCGUAAAGCGUGCGCAGGCGGUUCGUUGUGUCGGCGGUGAAAGCCCCGGGCUUAACCUGGGAAUGGCCGUCGAAACUGGCGAACUGGAGUGUGGCAGAGGGGGGUGGAAUUCCGCGUGUAGCAGUGAAAUGCGUAGAGAUGUGGAGGAACACCAGUGGCGAAGGCGGCUUUCUGGUCUGUAACUGACGCUGAGGCGCGAAAGCGUGGGGAGCAAACAGG
rnacentral:rRNA from 1 species